rnacentral:rRNA from 1 species
GACGUAGGGGGCGAGCGUUGUCCGGAUUUAUUGGGCGUAAAGCGUGCGUAGGCGGCUGCGCAAGUCGGGUGUGAAACCCCGGGGCUCAACCCCGGAACUGCAUCCGAUACUGCGUGGCUAGAGGUAGGUAGGGGAAAGCGGAAUUCCUGGUGUAGAGGUGAAAUUCGUAGAUAUCAGGAGGAACACCAGUGGCGAAGGCGGCUUUCUGGACGAUAACUGACGCUGAGACGCGAAAGCGUGGGGAGCAAACAGG